rnacentral:ribozyme from 1 species
AGAUCAUUAUGAGAAUCCCCGUAAUGUGGGCACAUUGGAUAAAGAGGAUCCGUCAGUGGGGACGGGCAUGGUUGGCGCACCAGCUUGUGGUAAAUAACAUUGCCACGUAAUUCUGCUAUAUGCAAGAAACUCUCGUUAGGUUGUAGGUACUAAUGUUUAACCAAACACGCAAAAUAACAAAAUAGUGUGCCCAAAUACUUGAGUAAAAUACUCAAGUAUUAACCAGAUGGGUUAGUAAAAACCCUACAAAUAGAGACAAUUUGCAAGGAAGUCGUGGUUGACCCUUCAGAGACUAUACGCAGAACAUCAAUGAGAUGAAGACAUAGUCCGAACUACACGGAGACGUGUAG